GAUGAACGCUGGCGGCGUGCCUAACACAUGCAAGUCGAACGGAGUCCAGCCUUUAAGACCUUCGGGUCAAAGAGGGGAAGACUGAGUGGCGGACGGGUGAGUAACACGUGGGCAACCUGGCUCAUAGAGGGGGAUAACAGAGAGAAAUUUCUGCUAAUACCGCAUAAGCACACACUGCCGCAUGGCAGAGGGUGAAAAGAGAAUCGCUAUGAGAUGGACCCGCGUCUGAUUAGCCAGUUGGCAGGGUAAGAGCCCACCAAAGCGACGAUCAGUAGCCGAUCUGAGAGGAUGAACGGCCACAUUGGAACUGAGACACGGCCCAAACUCCUACGGGAGGCAGCAGUGGGGGAUAUUGCACAAUGGGGGGAACCCUGAUGCAGCGACGCCGCGUGAGUGAAGAAGUAUUUCGGUAUGUAAAGCUCUAUCAGCAGGGAAGAUAAUGACAGUACCUGAAUAAGAAGCCCCGGCUAACUACGUG
rnacentral:rRNA from 1 species